AAAGACACACCAAUCCAUCUUCUCCACAAAACUCUUGUUACCAUACUUUUCCACCCGUCCUGUUGCGGCACCUUUUCUCUUCAGAUCCACCACCACUCCCUGCCCCCGACCUUAUUAGUAAAGAGAGAGAUCAUUUUCAAAGGCCGCCAAGGGAAACCAGGCAGGCAGGCCCGCCGUAUUCCACGGUCGAAUCUGGAACGCCGACCCGGGCCAUGGAAUCACUUGGCACCCGGGGGCAUCGGUUCAAAAACCCCGCAACGUUUGCGCCAGCGGUGGCGGCACCCUGGGGCUCGGUGCGAAUCCGAGGGAGAGCGGAGAAAAAGGGAUUUUUCAGUCCAUUUCGUUGCUGUUGCUGAAUCGGAUAGUGAAGAACACAUCACGGUAGACGCGGUUGCCCAUAGGUGGCGCCCUUCUCGCCUAAAACCACAUCUCCUGUGUAUUUUAAUAACCCGCCCGCCAUGCUGUUUGAUUGGUGCGUUUGCCUGUCGCUCCCAAAGCCAAGGAAGCGACCUACUGUACUGUAGAGGGGAAGUGAUUCAAGAUGGCGGUGCCCUUGCAGCUCGUGAGGCGGCGUUUGCUGUUGUCGCGACCUCUGAACCCAACAUUGUCUCGUUCCGCUUUCAUUGUAAGCCAAGAUGA
rnacentral:lncRNA from 1 species